GUUUCCGUUUCUCCUCUGGAUCUGACCCGAAGUCCCGGGACCCGAUGCCAUUCUGAAGGUUUAUUAGGGAAUCCUUCAUCUGCAAGACAAGAGAUUUUCCCCACUGUGAUGCAACCCUGGAGCCUGCUGUACAAAAGGUUUUUUAGGCAGUGGAUACUGAAACUCUGUGCUGUGAAGGGCCCAUGCAGAAGGUGUUCCCUUCAUCCACGAAACCUAUGUGUGAAUCCAGAGCUGAGAAUUCUCUCCUCCUCGUGUGACAGAGAGGCUGUGGCACCCUGUGACAGCCCCUGGACCUGCUGCCCACCAUGAGGGGAGAAGAUGGGUCUGAGGGAGACACCGGUGGAGGUCCCAGCCCUACCUGGCCGUGGGGUCUCACCUGGUCCAGCAGCAUCACGGAGGAUUUGAUGAUCUCCCGCCACUUCUGCAGCUCCGAGUCGUGGUACUUCUGCUGGGACUCCAGUAACUGGGCCCACUCUGUCUGAGACUGGGGCAACCUGGCAGCACAACACGGGCAAGAGUCACCCUGGGCAACCUGCAGUGGGUGUAACCAGCUUCUGGCUAAGCUUUUCACCCCAAAGGGGCACGUUUUCUUGAGCAAAAGUGCAUUUAAAAUGCUUGGAAUUUCAAUCAAUUGGAUUCCGUGGUUUGCUUUUUCUAGACAUGCUGUCAGUCUUUAUUCAUCCCAUGUAAUUUGUUCAGGACUUUCUCUUUAUUUUGAAUUAAAGCUGCACUG